GGGGACGGAGAAGGCUAUGUUGGCCGGGCGACGGUUGUCCCGGUUUAAGCGUGUAGGCUGGUUUUCCAGGCAAAUCCGGAAAACCAAGGCUGAGGCGUGAUGACGAGGCACUACGGUGCUGAAGCGACAAAUGCCCUGCUUCCAGGAAAAGCCUCUAAGCAUCAGGUAACAUCAAAUCGUACCCCAAACCGACACAGGUGGUCAGGUAGAGAAUACCAAGGCGCUUGAGAGAACUCGGGUGAAGGAACUAGGCAAAAUGGUGCCGUAACUUCGGGAGAAGGCACGCUGAUAUGUAGGUGAAGCGACUUGCUCGUGGAGCUGAAAUCAGUCGAAGAUACCAGCUGGCUGCAACUGUUUAUUAAAAACACAGCACUGUGCAAACACGAAAGUGGACGUAUACGGUGUGACGCCUGCCCGGUGCCGGAAGGUUAAUUGAUGGGGUUAGCGGCAACGCGAAGCUCUUGAUCGAAGCCCCGGUAAACGGCGGCCGUAACUAUAACGGUCCUAAGGUAGCGAAAUUCCUUGUCGGGUAAGUUCCGACCUGCACGAAUGGCGUAAUGAUGGCCAGGCUGUCUCCACCCGAGACUCAGUGAAAUUGAACUCGCUGUGAAGAUGCAGUGUACCCGCGGCAAGACGGAAAGACCCCGUGAACCUUUACUAUAGCUUGACACUGAACAUUGAGCCUUGAUGUGUAGGAUAGGUGGGAGGCUUUGAAGUGUGGACGCCAGUCUGCAUGGAGCCGACCUUGAAAUACCACCCUUUAAUGUUUGAUGUUCUAACGUUGGCCCGUAAUCCGGGUUGCGGACAGUGUCUGGUGGGUAGUUUGACUGGGGCGGUCUCCUCCUAAAGAGUAACGGAGGAGCACGAAGGUUGGCUAAUCCUGGUCGGACAUCAGGAGGUUAGUGCAAUGGCAUAAGCCAGCUUGACUGCGAGCGUGACGGCGCGAGCAGGUGCGAAAGCAGGUCAUAGUGAUCCGGUGGUUCUGAAUGGAAGGGCCAUCGCUCAACGGAUAAAAGGUACUCCGGGGAUAACAGGCUGAUACCGCCCAAGAGUUCAUAUCGACGGCGGUGUUUGGCACCUCGAUGUCGGCUCAUCACAUCCUGGGGCUGAAGUAGGUCCCAAGGGUAUGGCUGUUCGCCAUUUAAAGUGGUACGCGAGCUGGGUUUAGAACGUCGUGAGACAGUUCGGUCCCUAUCUGCCGUGGGCGCUGGAGAACUGAGGGGGGCUGCUCCUAGUACGAGAGGACCGGAGUGGACGCAUCACUGGUGUUCGGGUUGUCAUGCCAAUGGCACUGCCCGGUAGCUAAAUGCGGAAGAGAUAAGUGCUGAAAGCAUCUAAGCACGAAACUUGCCCCGAGAUGAGUUCUCCCUGACUCCUUGAGAGUCCUGAAGGAACGUUGAAGACGACGACGUUGAUAGGCCGGGUGUGUAAGCGCAGCGAUGCGUUGAGCUAACCGGUACUAAUGAACCGUGAGGCUUAACCUU
rnacentral:rRNA from 1 species